AGCGUAUACGGUGGAUGCCUAGGCAGAAGAAGGCGAUGAAGGACGUAGUAACUUGCGAUAAGCCACGGGGAGCCAGUAAACAUGCUUUGAUCCGUGGAUUUCCGAAUGGGAAAACCCAUCCAAUAUGGAUAUCCUGCUUGCAGGAGGCUAACCCGGGGAACUGAAACAUCUAAGUACCCGGAGGAAAAGAAAUCAACCGAGAUUCCCUAAGUAGCGGCGAGCGAACGGGGACCAGCCCUUAAGCAUUUAUAAGAUUAGUAAAAUAGUCUGGAAAGUCUAACGAUACAAGGUGAUAGUCCUGUAUACGAAAAUCUUUUAAGUGUGAAAUCGAGUAAGACGGGACACGAGAAAUCCUGUUUGAAGAUGGGGGGACCACCCUCCAAGGCUAAAUACUCUCUUCUGACCGAUAGUGAACCAGUACCGUGAGGGAAAGGCGAAAAGAACCCCUGAAGGGGAGUGAAAUAGAACCUGAAACCGUGUACGUACAAGCAGUAGGAGCCCCUCAUUAAAGGGUCUUUAUCCGAGCGAUAAAAUGCUCAAAAGCGAAGCAGUGUUUGAACAAGGUCGUUAUUUUAGAUGAGAACCGUAGCGCAGUGUAGCCAAAGCUACAUGAGCAACGGAAGUGAAUCAAAAUGGCGAGAUUGUCAAACAAUGCAAGCGGAAGAUUUUUUAAUGAGGGGUGACUGCGUACCUUUUGUAUAAUGGGUCAGCGACUUACAUUAUGUAGCGAGAUUAACCGAAUAGGGGAGUCGUAGGGAAACCGAGUCUUAAAUGGGCGACUAGUUGCAUGGUGUAGACCCGAAACCGGGCGAUCUAUCCAUGGCCAGGUUGAAGGUGCCGUAACAGGUACUGGAGGACCGAACCCACGUAUGUUGAAAAAUGCGGGGAUGAGCUGUGGAUCGGAGUGAAAGGCUAAUCAAGCCCGGAGAUAGCUGGUUCUCCUCGAAAACUAUUUAGGUAGUGCCUCAUGUAUCACUGUUGGGGGUAGAGCACUGUUAUGGUCUAGCGGUCCGUCAAGGAUUAGCAGCCCAUUGCAAACUCCGAAUACCAACAAGUGCAAUCAUGGGAGACAGACUGCGGGUGCUAACGUCCGUAGUCAAGAGGGAAACAACCCAGACCGCCAUCUAAGGUCCCUAAAUAUUACUAAGUGGGAAAGGAUGUGGGAAGGCUCAGACAGUCAGGAGGUUGGCUUAGAAGCAGCCACCCUUUAAAGAAAGCGUAAUAGCUCACUGAUCGAGUCGGCCUGCGCCGAAGAUUUAACGGGGCUAAGUAAUAUACCGAAGAUGCGGAUGCCGUAAGGCAUGGUAGAGGAGCGUUCUGUAAGCCUGCGAAGGGGCAUUGUAAAGUGUCCUGGAGGUAUCAGAAGUGCGAAUGCUGACAUGAGUAGCGAUAAAGGGAGUGAAAAGCUCCCUCGCCGAAAGACCAAGGUUUCCUACGCAACGUUAAUCGACGUAGGGUUAGUCGACCCCUAAGACGAGGCCGAGAGGCGUAGUCGAUGGGAAGCAGGUUAAUAUUCCUGCACUAGUUAUUACUGCGAUGGAGGGACGGAGUAGGCUAAAUCAGCCUGGCGAUGGUUGUCCAGGUUUAAGGAUGUAGGCAGAUAUCUUAGGUAAAUCCGGGAUAUUAAUGCUGAGAUCUGAUGACGAGUCCUCUUUUGGACGAAGUGAUUGAUGCCAUGCUUCCAAGAAAAGCUUCUAAGCUUCAGGUAAUAACUAAUCGUACCCCAAACCAACACAGGUGGUCAGGAUGAGAAUUCUAAGGCGCUUGAGAGAACUCGGGUGAAGGAACUAGGCAAAAUGGUACCGUAACUUCGGGAGAAGGUACGCCCUCUUAAGUGAAAGACUUGCUCUGUAAGCUCUAGAGGGUUGCAAUAAAAUGGUGGCUGCAACUGUUUACUAAAAACAUAGCACUGUGCAAAAUCGAAAGAUGACGUAUACGGUGUGACGCCUGCCCGGUGCCGGAAGGUUAAUUGAUGGGGUUAGCUUAGGCGAAGCUCUUGAUCGAAGCCCCGGUAAACGGCGGCCGUAACUAUAACGGUCCUAAGGUAGCGAAAUUCCUUGUCGGGUAAGUUCCGACCUGCACGAAUGGCGUAAUGAUGGCCACACUGUCUCCACCCGAGACUCAGCGAAAUUGAAAUCGCAGUUAAGAUGCUGCGUACCCGCGGCUAGACGGAAAGACCCCGUGAACCUUUACUACAGCUUUGCACUGGACUUUGAUACUAUCUGUGUAGGAUAGGUGGGAGGCUUUGAAACCGAGACGCUAGUCCCGGUGGAGCCAAUCUUGAAAUACCACCCUGAUAUUAUUGAGGUUCUAACCUCGACCAGUGAAUCCUGGUCAGGGACAGUGUAUGGUGGGUAGUUUGACUGGGGCGGUCUCCUCCUAAAGAGUAACGGAGGAGCGCGAAGGUACCCUCAGCACGGUCGGACAUCGUGCAAUGAGCGCAAGAGUAAAAGGGUGCUUGACUGCGAGACUGACACGUCGAGCAGGUGCGAAAGCAGGUUCUAGUGAUCCGGUGGUUCUGUGUGGAAGGGCCAUCGCUCAACGGAUAAAAGGUACUCCGGGGAUAACAGGCUGAUACCGCCCAAGAGUUCAUAUCGACGGCGGUGUUUGGCACCUCGAUGUCGGCUCAUCACAUCCUGGGGCUGAAGUCGGUCCCAAGGGUAUGGCUGUUCGCCAUUUAAAGUGGUACGCGAGCUGGGUUUAGAACGUCGUGAGACAGUUCGGUCCCUAUCUGCCGUGGGCGUUGGAAAUUUGAGGGAGGCUGCUCCUAGUACGAGAGGACCGGAGUGGACGAACCGCUGGUGUUCGGGUUGUUAUGCCAAUAGCAUUGCCCGGUAGCUACGUUCGGAAAGGAUAACCGCUGAAAGCAUCUAAGCGGGAAACCUGUCCCAAGAUAAGAUUUCCCUAGACUUUAAGUCUUCU
rnacentral:rRNA from 1 species